AGCGAUGCCUUAAAAUACCUUUAAAGAUAAAAAAUCAGGAUUGUCGUGUAUUUUCUAUGGACAAUUUUUACAUUCCUUGGUCCAGUUUUUAAUGUUAAUAUUUAGGGCUAAAUAUUUCAAGGAAGUUUUUGUAUGGUAUUUCCAAGGUAAAUAAAUGGUAAAUAUUUUACAUAAUAAAAAAAUAUAUAUGUAUAAUUUAUUCAAUUAUUAUCUAAUUGACUUUAUUAAUAUAUUUCUUAAAAUAUUUGAUUUUAGAUUUAUAAAGUCACUUGACGCAACAAGUGCCAAAAUGAUUUGCAUAACAUUUUUUUGUUUGAAUUAUUCAAUUAAUUCAAAUAUUAUGACAGAAAAUAGCAAAAAAAGAAAAAAAACAACAAACACAUGCGGGAGUUGUAGCACAUGAAAAUUUUCAUUAGCUCUGCUGUGCUACCGCUCCCAAUUUUUUGCUACCGCUACGCCAGAGCAUAGCGCAGAAUUUAAUUUUUUGCUCCCGCUCCAGCUAUAGUUUUUUACCUAACAAAACUCGGAGCAGAGUAGAGCACUUCUUUUACAUUGUUAUGCUAAGGCUAUGCUGUGGCUCCCGACAAAGAGAGAGCGGUAGCAAGAGUAAAAUGAAAUGCUAUGGGAGUAGCCAAGAAUGAUAGAAUACGAGAUUACGACACUAGUUCACCGUUAGUUUUUUUCGGUUUAGCUCUUGACAAUUCUACAAAAACAAAUACAUUGUGCAACAAUUUCGUGACGUCACACUUGUGCGUUGAGAAGAACAAGCAUAGAAAUGCAUACAAAUUGAAAAAUUUCAGUGGAAUGUUUAGAAUAUUGUUGCGAGAAAAGAUAUAUGUAAGUAGUUUUAGGCACAUCCACAAUAAAUAGAGUAGCAUGUGUGGAAAUUGUUCAAAUGAAGAAAACCAGUGAAAGUGUACUGUUGUAUUUAUUUAAAUUUCUAAGCAUAAAUAUAUUAAUUUUCUAAAAUGAAA